rnacentral:misc_RNA from 1 species
ACACUACUCCAUCACAAGUUGCAUAUGACGAUUGAGGUCAUUGAGGUAACUGGUGCAAGUAUAAUCUUGUAUAUCACAACCAUCCAAAAUCACAGCCCUCCCUGCAUUAGUCUUUUGCUUCAAAUCUAUUGGUGCUUCCUUACCCUUCAAUAACUGCACAACCUGAACUUGUGAAACAUUACUUUUAGAUGUGAAUUCUGCUUCUUAUUAAUGAAUUAUCAUUUAAUAGAAGAGAGAACAAACAAAUUUCAUACCCGAUUCAUGUGCGGACGCAUAGAUGGUAGGUGGUUGAUGCACAUUGAAGCUGUUAACAUGGCACGCUUCAUUUCAGCCGGAUCAUAAUCGUUACCUAAUCGCAGAUCAGCUAAUUCUUUAGCAUUGUUUUCCUGUAACAGUGGUUUUGCCUGUGCAGAGAAGCAGCAAAGUUUGUCAGUGUUUUCAUGAACAAAUGGCUAUAAAACCCAGGAGUUAAAUCCAAGAGCUAACAAAUUAACCUGUUUGUGGACAUAAAAUGUAUAAAAACAUGAAGCUUUUACUUGAAGUUUGAAAUCACUUGGAUUUCCAUGAACAAUAAUGGAAGCAAAAGCAGAUCUUACCCACAUCACAAGGCUUUGUCUACUCGAAUCAA